CUGGAGGAGAGGGCUUGGGACAGGAAGGAGAGUGCUGUGGGGCAGGAGAAAAGCUGAACAAACUUCCAAACCCCAGCAAGAAGGAAGAGAAUUCUGUUUACAGAACGGUCACCCAGGAGCCCUGGACUGGGGUGCAGUGAUGCACUGAUCUAUGUUCCAGUCUCUUCCCCUCUCCAGCUUCCUGCUGGAGGAUUCCAACAGCCCUCCCAGAGGUGUGCACAGCAGGACCAUGGAGUUUCCCUUCUCCUGCACUAUGGUGACCCACCCUCCACUCUGCCACUGUCCAUAGUGACUGAUGGCUUGUAUUUUACCUACAACUGGGGACUCCCCAGCCUCCUUUUCAACUGGUUAGUGUCUUGUGGUUUUCUCACUGUUUCACAACGGAAAAUGGCCCAAACCUGAGUGACAGAAAGUCCCAGGGAUCCAGUCAAACCUUGCACCAGUCAAAGCUUGACUCAGAGUCAAAGGUCUGGGCUGAAGUUUUGAGUAAAAUUUUAAAGAGUACAGGGGUGCCUGGGUGGCUCAGUCGUUAAGCGUCUGCCUUCGGCUCAGGUCAUGAUCUCAGGGUCCUGGGAUCGAGCCCCACAUCGGGCU